GCCAGCGUGGCAUAGUGGUUUGAGUGUUGGGCUAGGACACUGGGAGACCAGGGUUCAAAUCCCAGCUCAGCCA